AUUGAACGCUAGCGGGAUGCCUUACACAUGCAAGUCGAACGGAUGGGCGGACGGGUGAGUGAGGUAUCGGAACGUGCCCCGUAGCGGGGGAUAACUAUGCCAAAGCGUAACUGAUACCGCAUACUCUUGGAGCGGCCGAUAUCGAAUUGGCUAGUUGGUGGGGGAACGGCUCACCAAGGCGACGAUCCGUAGCCGGUUUGAGAGGACGACCAGCCACACUGGAACUGAGACACGGCCCAGACUCCUACGGGAGGCAGCAGUGGGGAAUAUUGGACAAUGGGGGAAACCCUGAUGCAGCCAUGCCGCGUGUGCGAAGAAGGCCUUCGGGUUGUAAAGCACUUUCGGCGGGGAGGCGGUACCUGCAGAAGAAGCACCGGCUAACUACGUGCCAGCCGCCGCGGUAAUUC
rnacentral:rRNA from 1 species